UGUUAAUGAAGUGUUGAAAUCAAUUAAUCUCGUGUUCAUAAAUAUCACACCGUUGUUAGAUCAGCACAAACAUGUAUUUCUUGCUUUGCCUACUAGUAUUUAUAAAAGCAGAAACUCAAGAAGCAUCACGUGAAUCCGAGACAACUCCCGUUUUAUUUGUCAAAGAAAUAUCCAAAGAGAGCCUUCGAAAUGAAAUUCUCAGACAUAUGCUUGGUAUAGACUCGUAUAGUCUUGCAAAAGAAUUGAGAUCAUAUGACGAUCCCUAUCCAAACGACGAUGUUGACAAAACAGCGUUGCGUAAAAUCGAAUCAGACAUCAAAAGUCUAAUACAUGACAAACAAUUCCAAAAUAAUGAACUACGCACAAGCCAACACACUAAUGUAAUGGGCAAACAAAAAGCCAUCAGUGACAAAAUGAAAUAUGGCAUACUACGUAAAAGAAAACCGCCUGCAAAACCCAACAAAAAACAAAAAUUAUGGUUUAGUGUAAUUUAUCGGGUUCGCCAGGAUCGCCUUUCGUCGAAAGGUUCGAAAGUUUCAAGAGACGAAGAAUUGAGGCAACUGAAUGGUUUGUUACAACUCACCCAGAAAUUUAUCUUCUAGCUCCAAACAUACCGUAAAAAUGUUACUCACUUUAAAUUUCCAUCCAAAUAAUAAAAAAAUUGUAUUAAAUAAAUUGCUUUUGAAAAUG